rnacentral:rRNA from 1 species
GGCCAGACUCCUACGGGAGGCAGCAGUGGGGGAUAUUGCACAAUGGGGGAAACCCUGAUGCAGCGACGCCGCGUGGGUGAAGAAGCGCCUCGGCGCGUAAAGCCCUGUCAGCAGGGAAGAAAAUGACGGUACCUGAAGAAGAAGCCCCGGCUAACUACGUGCCAGCAGCCGCGGUAAUACGUAGGGGGCAAGCGUUAUCCGGAUUUACUGGGUGUAAAGGGGGCGCAGACGGCGAUGCAAGCCAGGAGUGAAAGCCCAGGGCCCAACCCCGGGACUGCUCUUGGAACUGCGUGGCUGGAGUGCAGGAGGGGCAGGCGGAAUUCCUGGUGUAGCGGUGAAAUGCGUAGAUAUCAGGAGGAACACCGGUGGCGAAGGCGGCCUGCUGGACUGCAACUGACGUUGAGGCCCGAAAGCGUGGGGAGCAAACAGGAUUAGAUACCCUCGUAAU